UACGUAGGGUCCGAGCGUUGUCCGGAAUUACUGGGCGUAAAGAGCUCGUAGGCGGUUUGUCGCGUCUGCUGUGAAAACUCAGGGCUUAACCCUGAGCCUGCAGUGGGUACGGGCAGACUAGAGUGUGGUAGGGGAGAUCGGAAUUCCUGGUGUAGCGGUGGAAUGCGCAGAUAUCAGGAGGAACACCGGUGGCGAAGGCGGAUCUCUGGGCCAUAACUGACGCUGGAGGAGCGAAAGCAUGGGGAGCGAACAGGA
rnacentral:rRNA from 1 species